rnacentral:rRNA from 1 species
CAGUCGCCGCGGUAAUACGUAGGGUGCGAGCGUUAAUCGGAAUUACUGGGCGUAAAGCGUGCGCAGGCGGUUAUAUAAGACAGAUGUGAAAUCCCCGGGCUCAACCUGGGACCUGCAUUUGUGACUGUAUAGCUAGAGUACGGUAGAGGGGGAUGGAAUUCCGCGUGUAGCAGUGAAAUGCGUAGAUAUGCAGAGGAACACCGAUGGCGAAGGCAAUCCCCUGGACCUGUACUGACGCUCAUGCACGAAAGCGUGGGGAGCAAGCAGGAUUAGAUACCCGCGUAGUCCCUGUCUCUUAUAC